GAGACUCUGUGCGCGUGCAUAUCAAUAAGCGGAGGAAAAGAAACUAACAAGGAUUCCCUUAGUAACGGCGAGUGAAGCGGGAAGAGCUCAAAUUUGAAAUCUUCAAGGUUCUACCUUGACGAAUUGUAGUUUAAAGAAGUGUUUUCUGUUAGAUGAGUAGCAAAAGUUCCUUGGAAUGGGACAUCAUAGAGGGUGAGAAUCCCGUAUUUGGUUAUUCAUUCUAGCUUUGUGAUACACUUUCAAAGAGUCGGAUUGUUUGGGAAUGCAGUCCAAAAUGGGUGGUAAAUUUCAUCUAAAGCUAAAUAUUGGCGAGAGACCGAUAGCGAACAAGUACCGUGAGGGAAAGAUGAAAAGAACUUUGAAAAGAGAGUUAAACAGUACGUGAAAUUGUCAAAAGGGAAGCGUUUGACACCAGUGUUGUUUUUCCGAAAAUCAAUUACGAAUGGCUUGAUUUUGUGUUGUAUUGACCUUAUCAGCUUUCUGCACUUUUUUCGAGUCUUUCUUAAUGCACUUUUCGGUUAACAAGUCAACAUCAAUUUCUUUUGUUGUAAAAGAGUAUUCGGAAGGUGGCUUUCUUUUCGGAGAAAGUGUUUAUAGCCCUAUACUUCUACAAUCGGAGAGAUUGAGGUCUGCAGCGUAGAUCCUUCGGGGUUAGAUACAUUUGUGCUAAGUUGUAGCUUUUCAUAGACAACUUGUUGACUAUGUUUAGUCAUGCGGCUUACUCGCUUGUGCUAUUUUACCUACGCUUAGGAUGUUGACUGAUAUGUAGUCGUA
rnacentral:rRNA from 1 species